GCCCUUGUAGCUUAACGGAUAGAGUAAUGGCUUCCGGAGCCAUUGGUAAGGGUUCAAUUCCCUUCAAGGGCA
rfam:Candidatus Roizmanbacteria bacterium RIFCSPHIGHO2_12_FTLL_41_11 rifcsphigho2_12_scaffold_3441, whole genome shotgun sequence.